AUCCCCUUACUAUUCAUAAAAAAUGUGCCAAAUUCCUUACAGAACGGCUUCAAAAAAUAGUAUGUGUAGGGAAAAACCAAAAGUUUAUUAUUUUCCGGUGUAGGGUAAGAAUAUUCAAUAAAAGUAUCCGUUUUUGAAGAAAAAAGUCUAUUCCAAAAUCCGAGCCAAAAUCCCAAUGCUGUGCUUGGCAAAUAUGUCAUCCUGUAUAUAUAAGGUAUGACUGAACUACAGUUGACGGUUCAUACAGCAUACAGUGCACAUUUAGUAUAGUCACUCGGAGAGAAAUUGAUCAGCCUACCUCCAUCUGUUGAUUGAAAAUGUUGGAGCAAGUGCAUGGUGGAAACUUUGGUAACUUCUUUCACGGAAACUAACAACUAAAAAUAGUCCCUUGAUAACAGUGAGUAUAGAGAAUCAGAAAAGGCGUCCAUGAAAACUGUAAACGAGUCAGAUAAGCAAAAAAAUAACCAGACACAAACCAAAGCCAGAGCAAACAAUGAAGCUAUAUUAUUGAAGCAUGAGAAAAAAUUCCCCCAAGACCAGUGGAAUCAAUUGCGUGUCAGCAGCAGUCUGCUAAAUAACCAAAAAACGAAUAGUAUAAUUGACAACCAACAAACAUCUGAAGCAAAACCUGUGAAUAAUUUAGUAAGAAAUAACCUAUGCAUUAGAACACAUAGUAAACAAAACACAAAGGUAAAGAAUACAAUCAAUGUUAAUUCAAAACGUGACGAGAGCA